rnacentral:tRNA from 1 species
AGCAGAGUGGCUCAAGUGAAAGAGCCUGGGCUUGAGAGUCAGAGGUCAUGGGUUCUAAUCCCAGCUCUGCAA